AUGCUUUAAGUAACUGAAUAUAAAAUAGAGCUGUUAAAGUUCUUUCCAAAUUAAAACUACAUCUGUUCACUUCACAGGAAAAGAAGUCUGGAAAGGAGAGUGGGUGGAAGGAAAAGGAAAGCUCUAGAACGCCAUCAGGCACAGGGAGAUUUACUAAUCCUUGGCUGAACUUCCAAGAGACCCACACAACACAGGCAGCUCAUCUUGCUGCUUCUUGGGAAGGCAGAGCCCUGGCAGGGCACAACAGGGAAGGUGGGAAGAAGAGCUGAGCUACUCUGGGCCAGUCCAUUCUACUGUUGUACCAGAAGAAAA